GUGUCUGUAGCCUAGUGGUAAAAGGCAGCACUCUAGUAUUCUGAGGUUGUGGGUUUGAAUCCCACCAGACACA
rnacentral:tRNA from 1 species